UACGUAGGGUGCGAGCGUUAAUCGGAAUUACUGGGCGUAAAGCGUGCGCAGGCGGUUUUGUAAGUCGGAUGUGAAAUCCCCGGGCUCAACCUGGGAAUGGCAUUUGGGACUGCAAAGCUGGAGUGCGGCAGAGGAGACUGGAAUUCCUGGUGUAGCAGUGAAAUGCGUAGAUAUCAGGAGGAAUACCGAUGGCGAAGGCAGGUCUCUGGGCUGACACUGACGCUCAUGCACGAAAGCGUGGGGAGCAAACAGG
rnacentral:rRNA from 1 species